CAACUAGAAACGAAGAAUUCCUUUUAUGAUGCGACAUCUGAUGUAUCUUUGUAUGUAAAAAUUACGCGAAGAUAAUUCAAAUCGAGAAUCGAAACUUUGCCUUUCUUUUAUUUAAUUUGUUGCAAUUUCUUAUAUAACGCCCUUAUAAUACCAUUUUUUAUACAACGCCCUUCAUAAUUGUAUUUAAAUAAAGUUGUUAAAAUUGCGUGAUAUUCCAUUGCUUGCUCUUAAGUGCUUAUUAUUAUUUUAUGAGUCACAUUUUAUUUAAUAAUUAGAGUCUUCAAACAAUUAGCUAUUAAUUAUAUAACUUUUAUUGUAUAUAGGUAUACGAGGUGUCAAAAAUACUUUUUCUUGAAGUUAACUGUUUUUUAAAUUGUUUCUAGUGCAUGCAACAUUACGGAAUACAUUAUAGAACACAUUCUACACGGAAUAUGGAAGACAGCUAACUUGAAGUAAAGAGGCACUUUUGAUGCCUAGAAUGUAGUUGCUCUAAGCUAUAGCGAAAACAAAAUUUUAUAUUUUGUUGCACAGUAAUUUUAUUCAUGUCGAAGAAAGAAUUAAAGUACUUGAUUUUAUUUUAAUACAAAAAUUUACUGCUGAAUGAGGGUGAUUUGAAGAGUAACUUAAUUUAGGUGUUCGUAAAAAGCAUGAACAAUAAUAAUUAGUGUAUCUGAUCAUAUAGUUCCGUUCUUUUUAACACAAAGUUUGAUUUAACUAUAAAUUUUUAAAUACAAUUUUGUUUUAAUAUGAGCAUUUCAAACAUGCAAAAUUGAUAAAAUUGAAAUUUAAUUCUUUUUUUCAAGAUAUAACAAUAAAGAAAAUCCACGAAAGAAUUUUUCUUACAUUGAAUUGCUUAUAUCUUUUCCAUAGCGUCAUUCGAUAAUUUGCAUAAACGAAUUCAAACAUGACAAAAUAAAUAUAGAAGAUGCACAUUCUGGAGGUUUAAAAUAGCUAUCACGUCAAAAACUAUCGAUAAAGUCCAUGAUAUAUCCAAUAGACCAGUGAAAGUGUGCGAGAUAACAGAGAUCAUGGGCGUCUCAACUGAGAUAAUUUAUUUGCAUGAACUAAAUAUGAAACAAUUUUCGACAAGGCGUUUAAGAAGAAUCCAACGAAUUCAUGCGGAGUUUUGUCAUCAUGGAUGAAAUAUGAAUUCAUCAUUACCCUAUUAAAAACACGAAUCAUCGAGAAGGCAUCUGUUUUUUAGAUGCGAAAGGAAUUUUUACUAUUUUAAGAUCAACUAUUUUAGAGGAAGACCUCGCUUUCGGGAAAGAACCGGCAACCUAAAGAAGUUGGGGGAAGUGCGUUGAGCUUCGAAAGGAUUAUGUUAAAAAAAUGAAAAAAAUGAAGUACUAUAAAACUAAAUAAAAUAUUAUAAAACUGUGUUGUCUUUAAUAUGAAACCAAAUUAUUCUUCAAAUCACCACUGUAUGUCAGAAAUGAUGAGAUUAUUAUCAUUUGGAUCACA